CCUACGGGUGGCUGCAGUGGGGAAUAUUGCACAAUGGGGGGAACCCUGAUGCAGCGACGCCGCGUGAGUGAAGAAGUAUUUCGGUAUGUAAAGCUCUAUCAGCAGGGAAGAAAAUGACGGUACCUGACUAAGAAGCCCCGGCUAACUACGUGCCAGCAGCCGCGGUAAUACGUAGGGGGCAAGCGUUAUCCGGAUUUACUGGGUGUAAAGGGAGCGCAGGCGGCGUGGCAAGUCAGAUGUGAAAACCCGGGGCCCAACCCCGGGAGUGCAUUUGAAACUGCCAUGCUGGAGUGCCGGAGAGGUAAGCGGAAUUCCUAGUGUAGCGGUGAAAUGCGUAGAUAUUAGGAGGAACACCGGUGGCGAAGGCGGCUUACUGGACUGUAACUGACGUUGAGGCUCGAAAGCGUGGGGAGCAAACAGGAUUAGAUACCCCGGUAGUC
rnacentral:rRNA from 1 species